GAGUUACAGGUGUUUGUGAGCUGCUAUGUACCAGGUCCUCUGUGAGAGCAGCAAAUGCUCUACCCAUUGAGAAACUUCUCCAGUCCUCAGGACUGGUGAUUUUUAGAGAAGACACAUUGCUUUUGUUUUUGGAGAGGGACCUACUCAUUUGGAGCUAGUUCAUUGGUUGAGUCCUUUGGUCUAAGUUUCUGUCCUACUUGUUUCUGAGUGGGUGGUUGAAUCUAUACUUGCUUGUAAUCUGUCUUAUCUGGUUUUGGAUUGGACAGGUGAUACUUAGGGAUUGGGGAAGGUGGCUGAUUUGUGAUAGGGUAGCUGAGGUAAUUCCAUGUCAUUUAGGGGGCACAUAGUCUCCGACCUCAUAAUGAGACAUUCUUCAUAGGUUUUAGGGGUGGUAUCAGGUUCUGUAGAAGUGUCUCCUCCAAACACACAAGCAUGUGCAUACUGUUCUGCCAUGAAGAGAGAGGUUGUUCCGUGAGGUCCUUGUCGAUUGAUGGGAGCAAUCUGAGGCCCAGAAGUUGAAGGCUCCUCACCACCAUUCUAGAGAGUGGUCAAGUCUGGUCUAUGUCUGGCAGUCAAGAUGACUGCAUGUUUAGGACAGCAACGCAUCUUUAUGCCUGCAGCCUUGAAGGAGAACGUGACGGGGGGGCUCCGACCAGAGGGGAGAGACCUUCAAUGACCGUUGAAUGAAGAGUAAAUACAAGUCCCCGGACCGGGGCAUGCGCACUGCUGAGGCAGCCUUCGGGAGCCAUGUUCUGAGAGCUGUGCUCCCCAGGUCACAUGAGAACACCGCGUGUUGGGCUCCCAGGCUGUGGUGGGGUGAAGACCUGAAGCUGUGGUGCUUGCUAACCCGAGGCUCUAGGAGAGGCCAGGUCAACAGCUUCCUCAUUUGCCCCACAACUUAGAGUUGAGAGAGGCUCUUAGCUAGGCUCCGAGCACUAUUCUAAGCAGGUGGCUAUAAACUCUGACCACACAGGAAAAUCAGCGGCGGGGAGCUUUAAAAAUAUUGAUAUUUGGGCUGACAUUCCAGAGAUUUCAUGAUAUGUUUGACUUUGGAUACAAAGCCAGCUG